AUACGUAGGUGGCAAGCGUUAUCCGGAAUUAUUGGGCGUAAAGGGUGCGUAGGCGGUUUAUUAAGUCUAUGGUGAAAGUGCGGGGCUCAACCCCGUAUGGCCAUAGAAACUAGUAGACUUGAGUGCAGGAGAGGGCAAUGGAAUUCCAUGUGUAGCGGUAAAAUGCGUAGAUAUAUGGAGGAACACCAGUGGCGAAGGCGGCUUCCUGGUCUGUAACUGACACUGAGGCGCGAAAGCGUGGGUAGC
rnacentral:rRNA from 1 species